GACGAACGCUGGCGGCGUGCCUAACACAUGCAAGUCGAACGGAAAGGCCCGGCUUUUGUGCGGUGCUCGAGUGGCGAAGGGGGGAGUAACACGUGAGUAACCUGUACCUGACCGUGGGGUAACUUAAGGAAACUGGGGCUAUUACCGCAUAGGAGCUAUUGCUGCAUGGUGGGCGUUGGUAAGUUUCGGUGGUUGGGGAUUGACUCGCGGCUUAUCAGCUUGUUGGUGGGGUAGUGGAUGACCAAGGCUUUGACGGGUAGCCGGCCUGGGCGGGUGACCUGCCACGCUACGCCUGAGAUGCGACACAGCCUCGAACGGGACGCAACGGAGGAGAGUGUUACACAGUACGCUGGAGGCUGGUGUGGCAACGCCGCGUGCGGGAAGACGUGAUUCGGGUUGUGAACCACUGUCGCCUUUGCCGAGGCGUGAGUGACGGUACCGGGUAAAGAAGCACCGGCUAACUACGUG
rnacentral:rRNA from 1 species